rnacentral:lncRNA from 1 species
CAAAAAUUCAGGUUUUCCCUCUUAGUCCUUGACUCCUGCUACAUCACAUUUCUCAGCCCCCUUUCAGUUUAAGUGGAUAGAAGUGAUGUACACUACUUCUAGGAUCAGUUUCUAUAAACUCUCUGCUCGCCCUCCAUGCUCUGUCUCUCUUCCAGAAAAGACCCUAGAAGAUGAUGGAGCCACAAGAUGGAAAGAGCCUGUACCCUGAAUCUUAGUGUGAACGAAAACAUGCCCACGAAAUACUCAAUUAAAGGAGGAGCUUGGGAAGAUGAGAAGAGCCUGGAGAAGGAAGGGAUUCAUGUGAGUUGAAGCAGACAGAACAUGGAUGGCCUCAGAAAGAUUCCCAGACACUGGUGUAGUCUCACAGCAGGUGGUUGGAUUAUGCAUCAGCCUUUGAGCAAAGAAACAAAAAAAAGAACAUUAGAGAAUCUAUCCUCUAAAGAAGCAGUCCAUCUUUCGGUUUCAUCAUCACCAUCAAAAAGCAUUUUUGUUAUUCACCCAGCGGUUUCUCCACGGGAAGCAGUAUGGAUUGCCUUAAGUAUGGGAAGGAACCACAGAAGAGUCACCAUUAUUUAA